rnacentral:rRNA from 1 species
AUUGAACGCUGGCGGCAGGCCUAACACAUGCAAGUCGAGCGAGCGGCGGACGGGUGAGUAAUGUGUGGGAAACUGCCUGAUGGGGGGGGCUAACUACUGGAAACGGUAGCUAAUACUGCAUACCAUCAGAUGUGCCCCGAUGUGAUUAGCUAGUAGGUGGGGUAACGGCCCACCUAGGCGACGACCCCUAGCUGGUCUGGGAGGAGGACCAGCCACACGGGAACGGAGACACGUUCCAGACUCCUACGGGGGGCAGCAGUGGGGAAUAUUGCACAAUGGGCGCAAGCCUGAUGCAGCCAUGCCGCGUGUGUGAAGAAGGCCUUCGGGUUGUAAAGCACUUUCAGCGGGGAGGCGUUACCCGCAGAAUAAGCACCGGCUAACUCCGUGCCAGCAGCCGCGGUAAUUC